rnacentral:rRNA from 1 species
GAGAUGUUGGGUUAAGUCCCGUAACGAGCGCAACCCUUGUCCUUAGUUACCAGCACGUUAUGUGGGCACUCUAAGGAGACUGCCGGUGACAAACCGGAGGAAGGUGGGGAUGACGUCAAGUCAUCAUGGCCCUUACGGCCUGGGCUACACACGUGCUACGAAUGGUCGGUACAAAGGGUUGCCAAGCCGCGAGGUGGAGCUAAUCCCAUAAAACCGAUCGUAGUCCGGAUCGCAGUCUGCAACUCGACUGCGUGAAGUCGGAAUCGCUAGUAAUCGUGAAUCAGAAUGUCACGGUGAAUACGUUCCCGGGCCUU